GAUGAAGAACGCAGCGAAAUGCGAUAAGUAAUGUGAAUUGCAGAAUUCAGUGAAUCAUCGAAUCUUUGAACGCACAUUGCGCCCCCUGGUAUUCCGGGGGGCAUGCCUGUCCGAGCGUCAUUACAACCCUCAAGCUCAGCUUGGUGUUGGGCCCCGCCGCCCCGGCGGGCCCUAAAGUCAGUGGCGGUGCCGUCCGGCUCCGAGCGUAGUAAUUCUUCUCGCUCUGGAGGUCCGGUCGUGUACUCGCCAGCAACCCCCAAUUUUUUCAGGUUGACCUCGGAUCAGGUAGGGAUACCCGCUGAACUUAAGCAUAUCAAUAAGCGGAGGA
rnacentral:misc_RNA from 1 species